GGCGGGGCAGGGCAGGGGGGGCGGGGGCAGGGCCUCCCGGCUGCGGCCAAGGCACCUGUCAAAGGCAGAAGAUGCGAGGUCUGACGUUUGCGAGCCUUGCGGCCUUUGAUACAAGCACUUAACAUGGCCUAACGUCCGUUUUCUCAUCCCAGAAUGAGGACGUCACGCGGUUCUAAUCGUUUGGAAACCCUAAAAUACUGCACAGAAACAUGGUUCCCCACUCUUUUCGGAGGCUGUUUUUCUGACCGCAGUUUUAGGGGUGUGGGGACCUCCAAGACCGGCUCGGUGGUUAUUGGAGGAAACUUUGACAGCUCCGCCCGGCGGCCUCUGAGCCUCUGAAUCCGCCGCCCCGCCGCCCCCUCUGCCACUCUAGCUUUCUCCAACUGCAACCUGGAUUCCACUGCUCCCGGUAAGGAAAUUGAGGUUCAGAAGUUAAAAAACUUGUCCAAGAUGACUGAAACAGCAUGUGACAGAGGGGACCACUCUCUACAAUACAUCAUGCUGUCUUCUAUGGUGGUCAGAAUGAUGAGUUCAUAUCAAGUUCCACCUCUUCUGUGAAGCAGGUCCUGCUGAUUUCCAGUCUUUACCAGACUCUCUUGCCUUGAGAAUCCCACAGCACUUAAAAGAGGGCAUAAGGAAGAAGUGGAAGAUGCUGAGCAAAGAACAAAACCAUCUUUCCAACUAGCAAAGACUCCAGAUAAUCAAUUUACAAAUAAAUUCCAAGCAAAACCAAGAGACCAAGAUGUGGGAAUAUUCAAGAGCAAAGAAAAGGAAUGAGAAGGUUUGCUAGUCACUGAGCUCCAUCUCUCUCAAACCCCUCUCUCAUUUUCAGAAACUGGAAAUUCUCCCCCAAACUGCCACUGGCCAUACAGUCUCCUUGGACCCUGGGAAGGUAUCAUUAUAAAGUCAUUCCAACAACUAAGGUUGUUCCUCCAAACCCCCACCACGCUGGCAUCUGGGCACAUGGAUCUGCACUUACCAACUCCCACACCAGGGCUAUCUAUGGUUGGGUAUUUGGCCCUGAUGCAGAAGUUAUUGCCCAGUUCUUGCAUGUAUGUAGGGUUUGUGGGCACCAACCCAGGCUUCCAUAUGGGUAUGCCUAUUUCAGUUGGACAGACACCAGAUUUGGGCUGAACAUUUUGUCCUGAAAUGGGGGAAAAAAACCCAAAAAGGCAUCCAGAUGUCAGCGUGCAGCUCAGUAUAGUUUCUGCAUGGACCCGAGGGCUGCCAAUAGGGCAGCAUUUGGAUUUCACCUUGUAGCUGACAAAGUCAUUUCAAGUCUUAUAGUUCCUGCCACUUAGGCUGAGUUCUAAGCCUGUGAGACCUUUUUAUAAUCUUUAUACUGGAGAUCAGACUAACUAACUCCUGUGUUAUGAAUUAACUGUAGCUUGUCAGACAUUUGUUUUAGGUGUGAGUAAAGAUUGGUAAUGAAACUAUUUUUUACCCUUUUUUUUGUUUCUUUGCUUUUUCUUUCUUGUAGGGUUCCCCUUUUGUUCUGAUUUUUCU